rnacentral:rRNA from 1 species
GACUCACGCGGGAAUCUUACCGGGUCCGGACACACUGAGGAUUGACAGGCAAUAUUAAAAUUAAUUUAUUAAUUUUAUGUUAAAUAUGCUAGUCCUUUCAUGAUUAUGUGAUAGGUGGUGCAUGGCCGUUCUUAGUUCGUGGAGUGAUCUGUCUGCUUAAUUGCGUUUCACUAAGGGCUUAUAAAUUACGUGUGUUGUAAGUACUUUGACCCCUGCGUUGAAAUAUUACGUAGUGCGUGUCUUAGUUUGCUUUACUCACACAAUUAAGUCCUGAAAGCAACGAACGUGACCGCAACCUCUUGUUGCCUUUAUUUCCAAACACAAUUUAAAUUUUAUUUAUUUUGUGCAAAAAAGGCUUUUAAACUAGAGGGACCGCUGUAACUUUUUUAAACCAGAGGAAGGUUGCGGCAAUAACAGGUCUGUGAUGCCCUUAGAUGUUCCGGGCUGCACACGUGCUACAAUGAUUAUUGCAGUGAGCAUCUCAUUUUAAUACACCGCUUGCGCGUGUCCAAUUAUUUGCAUACUUAUGUGUGUAUUUUAAUUGUGUACAUUGCGCGCGGUAAAGCCUGCUUCGAAAGUAAGUGGGUAAUCAAUUAGAAGUAAUGAUUUCCCUAUUUAUAGCACACAUAUAUACGGCAUCUUUACCCGGGUUAAGCUUGUCUUAACUUUUGUGUGUAUCGAUGUUUUUUCCGUAUGUGCAAUUGUCAAUUCAUGGUGGGGACAGACCAUUGUUAAUUGUUGGUCUCGGUCUUAACUAGGAAUGCCUUGUACGGGUCUUUGGUUCAACAAACCACCCGGAAUACGUCCCUGCCCUUUGUACACACCGCCCGUCGCUCUUACCGAUGGACUUCUCUGUGAGUUUGAGGGACUGGAUAUUGUAACUUUUAGUUACUACCAUCUAUGG